GCGCGUCCGGGACGGUCUGCGCUCCCGCCGGCGUUUGCCGCGCCGCUGCCUCGCUCGUGGGCGACGCGGCCUCCCCCGCCGUGGGGUCUGUCCGACCUCGGUGCCUGCGGAGGGCAGUGCCGACUCUCAGUGAGCCUGUCCGCUCCCGUCGCGGUCUCCGCCGGGGUCUGGGCGUGGGGACGCGCGAGUGGGCACCCGCGCAAGGUAGUCGGCUUCUGGGAGGCCGUUGGAGACUCCGCCGCCACCCCCCGCCCGGUGCUUCGCGGAGGUUGGAGCGCCCGAUGCGCUUUAGUUGUUAGGAGCGUGGAGCCGAGGGUAACAUAAAGUUGGAUGCUACGGCAUUUCGAGGUCCGUACAUAUAGAGUCCACUUUCAAAACGAAGUCCUUUUCUCGUUGCUUCACAGUAUCCUCCGACGACCCCGUUCCUUCUCAAGUGCCGGAAAAGGAGCUUAUUGGCUGGGGCACAGAAAAAGAUAGAAACUCCCUAAAUCAUUUCAUGAAGCCAGCUUUACUGUAACCUGAUAAAGAGGUGAAAAAAUAUGGUGGUUUCUCAGAAAACUAAAUAGAGAACUACCAUAUGAUCCAGCAAUCCCACUCCUGGGCAUCUCUCCAGACAAAACUACAAUUCAAGAAGAUACCUGCACCUCUGUGUUCCUAGCAGCACUAUUCCCAACAGCCAGGGCAUGGAAGCCACCUGAAUGUCUAUCAACAGAUGAAUGGACUAAGAAGAUGCGGUGCAUAGAUACAGUGACACACCACUCAGCCGUAGCAAAGUAGAAGAUAACGCCGUUUGCAGCAACAUGAAUGCAACUAGAGAUUCUCAUAUUGAGUGACGUCAGUCAGAAAGAGAAAGGCAGAGACCCUAUGCUACCACUUAUAUGUGGAACCUACAAUAUGGCAUAAACGAGCCAUCUAUUCCGCAGAGACGGACUCACAGAUGUGGAGAACAGACUCCUUGCCAAGGGGGGGGCAGUGGGAUAGACUGGGAGUUUUGCAGUCCAUACGGUUGCAUUUAGAGUGGACACAGAGUCAGGUCGUCCUGUUCAGCACAAGGAACUCUGUCCCGGUUCAUGGGAUAGAGCCUGGCGGACGGCAAGAGAGGGGAUGUGUGUGUGUCUGACUGGGUCCCUUUGCUGUGCAGCAGACAUCGGACCAGCACUGUAACUAACUAUCCUUUCGUAAAAAAGACUUCGUCCGCGAGGGAAUUCGGAAGCAGUCAAAGCUUCUGUUAUUUCUGAAAUUUCCCUUUCCUCGGGGGCGGGGAUGGGGGGACGCUGACACCCUAUUUGAUAGGGACUUGCUGAAAUAUGAGACGCGGCGUUCCUGUCAUGGCUCAGUGGAAACGAAGCUGACUGCUGUCCAUGAGGGCGCAGGUUUGAUCCCUGGCCUUGCUCAGUGGGUUAGGGAUCCGGCGUUCCUGUGAGCUGUGGUGUAGGUCGCAGAUGCGGCUCAGAUCCCGCGUUGCUGUGGCUGUGGUGUAGGCCAGCGGCCACAGCUCCUAUUUGACCUCUAGCCUGGGAACCUCCAUAUGCUGUGAGUUCAGCACCAAAAAGACAAAAAACUAAGCAAAAAAAGAAACAUAGCCCCUUGUUAUGGAUAAAAUCAGUGAGGGCCAGCUUGUCUUUCCUUAAGCAUUUUAAUUACUCAAGGUAUUGUCUCUUUAACAAUAGGACUAUUCUUGCUAGAUUUCCAGUGAACUAUUUCUCGUGCCUCAUAAAGUACAGUUCAUUGAUAGUCUGAAAAAACUCCCGUAUCUCAGACAUGACACAUUCUCCUGAAUCCCCCAGCUUGGAAGUCUGUUGACAGCAGCAAUGGUGACAGGAGAAACAGCCUCGCCCUGUGAUUCCCAAACAGUGAUGCUAAUGCCGUCCUGUCCUCUGAAUCGUGUCUUCCUAAGUGAGCUUGGCCCUGUGUUAAUCCGACUUUUGUGCUGUCGGGACUUUCAAAAAGAAGUUUAUAAGGGUAGUUUUCAUUUUAUUGGCCGAAAGAGUGAUUGAAAAGCUGGCAGCAGGUGGCGCUGAAGGACUGAACUUGGAAAUGGCCCGUGGGGUGUCUGGCCUGUGGACUGGGCUUUGGGCCCUGCGCCCUGUGUCCCAGGCCCGUUAAAGGAAGGAAGGGCGAGCGCAGCCCUGGCGUCCGGCGAGCGCCCAGAGCCAGCGAUGCUGGCCUCGCCCUGCCUACCUGUCUCGGUCUCUUCCCUCGAGAGGCGACCCCCCGAAGGUGUGGGUAGACGAAGGCCUCAAGGGGCAAAAACACCAAAACCAACCCAGGUUUUGUGAAGGACAAUGAAAACGCACUGCUCAGAAGCGGCUUUGGAGGGCCGGCCUUGCUCUCGCCGCUGCGGACUCCUCUCCAGGAAUGUAGCCUGGUCGGGGUGGCGGCGGAAGAAAAGAGCAUCCGGAAAUUCCUUCUCGGGGACCUUGUGCAGAAGCAGCCUCCAUCGCUCCAGGCCCAAACAUGGCAGGGGGAUGGGCCCGAUUUCCCGCCAGCCUGCUCUUAUUAUCUGCCCCGUCCCCUGCUUUCUAGAAGUCUCCAAUGUGCCCAGAAAUGUUUUUCUCUAGGGCCGUUACCAGGAAAGUAAAAUUCAAAAGGGAGACUUUGGAAUUUUUUAAAUUUUUGGACCAUAUUCACAGCAUGCCGAAGUUCCCAUAUCAGGGUUUGAAUCCAAGCCGCUGUGGUGACAAUGCCAGAUCCUUAACCUGCUGAGUCACAUGGGAACUCUGAGAGGCUGUGGAUUUAAAGAGGAAAAUAAACUUCCACCGGGCCUCCAAGAGGACGGAAAGGAGACCAGCAGGAGGUGAAGUGGAAAGGUCUGCUUUGGAGCUCCCGUCGGGGCGCAGCGGUUCACGAACCCGACUAGGAACCUCGAGGUUGCGGCUUCGAUCCCUGGCCUUGCUCAGUGGGUUAAGGAUCCGGUGUUGCCGUGAGCUGGGGUGUAUGUUGUAGGCGCAGUUUGGAUCCCGAGUUGCUGUGGUUGUGGUGUAGGCCAGCGGCUACAGCUCCGAUUCGACCCCUAGCCUGGGAACCUCCAUAUGCCGCGGGUGCGGCCCUAGAAAAGAAAAGAAAAGAAAAGAAAAGAAAAAAA
rnacentral:lncRNA from 1 species